AGAGCGAACGCUGGCGGCAUGCUUAACACAUGCAAGUCGCACGGGCACUUCGGUGUCAGUGGCGGACGGGUGAGUAACGCGUAGGUAUCUAUCCUUGGGUGGGGGACAACUGUGGGAAACUACAGCUAAUACCGCAUGAUAACUGAGGUUUAAAGGCGCAAGUCGCCUGAGGAGGAGCCUGCGUACGAUUAGCUAGUUGGUGGGGUAAAGGCCUACCAAGGCGACGAUCGUUAGCUGGUCUGAGAGGAUGAUCAGCCACAUUGGGACUGAGACACGGCCCAAACUCCUACGGGAGGCAGCAGUGGGGAAUAUUGGACAAUGGGCGCAAGCCUGAUCCAGCAAUGCCGCGUGUGUGAAGAAGGUCUUCGGAUUGUAAAGCACUUUCGACGGGGACGAUGAUGACGGUACCCGUAGAAGAGCCCCGGCUAACUUCGCGCCAGCAGCCGC
rnacentral:rRNA from 1 species